rnacentral:rRNA from 1 species
UACGGAAGGGGCAAGCGUUGUUCGGAAUCAUUGGGCGUAAAGGGCGCGUAAGUGGUUCUGUAUGUCUACCGUGAAAGCGUACGGCUCAACCGUAUUUUGUCGGUAGAAACUGCAGGACUUGAGGCUGGGAGGGACUGGUGGAAUUCCCUGUGUAGCUGUGAAAUGCGUAGAGAUGGGGGAGAACACUCGUGGCGAAGGCGGCCAGCUAGACCAGUUCUGACGCUGAGGUGCGAAAGCGUGGGGAGCGAACAGG